rnacentral:rRNA from 1 species
GCAUAUCAAUAAGCGGGGG